rnacentral:rRNA from 1 species
GUUUUCAAUAAUUUAGGUAAUACUAGUUCACGAAGGGCAUUGAGCUAAUUGUGUUAUUGUAAUAGCUUUUAAAUUGUAUGUAGCAAUAUACAAGGAUUAAGAACAAUUAGGGGUGAUAGGCCUAUCAACGCGCCAGAUAACUUGAUCUACAGUAAAACUAUUAAGUAUUCAAACAGUUUAGAAAUGGUUAGGUUUCUAAAUAACAUUAAAAAUAGUUGCUAACGUGUGGUCUGUGUAACUACUACUAUAUUUGCUAAGCGGAAAUUAUAUAUCUAAUGGUUAUGAAAAUAACUGUAGGCAUUUUCUAACUUUAAUGUUAAUUAUUUAAUGAAAAUAUUAGUAUUAAUAAAAUAUUUUAUGAAGGAACUCGGCAAAAGUUUUGCUCAACUGUUUAACAAAAACAUAGCUAGAUGGCAUUACGUUUAGUUUUUUCUGCUCAAUGGAUUAUCUAAAUAGCCGCAGUA